rnacentral:rRNA from 1 species
CACGUAGGGUGCGAGCGUUGUCCGGAAUUAUUGGGCGUAAAGAGCUCGUAGGCGGUGUGUCGCGUCGGCCGUGAAAACCUGGGGCUUAACUCUGGGCUUGCGGUCGAUACGGGCAUCACUUGAGUUCGGCAGGGGAGACUGGAAUUCCUGGUGUAGCGGUGAAAUGCGCAGAUAUCAGGAGGAACACCGGUGGCGAAGGCGGGUCUCUGGGCCGAUACUGACGCUGAGGAGCGAAAGCGUGGGGAGCGAACGGG